UUUGCCUUCUUGUUCUGCAUCGGUAAUUUCCUGCUCCUCUGGUAUUGAGAUAAGCAGAUGACUAGAAGACCCAAAUGUUCAUUACAUCAUGGUACCAUUGGCGGGUUCAUGUGGCAAACAUGUUUAAUGUUUUAUGUGCAUAACAUCCUUGACCAGCAGCCAUUCAUAGCCUCGAAAGCAAUGACAUUGUUUUGGAAAU
rnacentral:lncRNA from 1 species